AGGAAGGCGGCGGACGGGUGAGUAACGCGUAGGCAACCUGCCCCAUACAAAGGGAUAGCAUUUGGAAACGAAUAUUAAUACCUUAUGAAACUUAACUAGUGCAUGCUAGGUAGGUCAAAGAUUUAUCGGUGUAAGAAGGGCUCGCGUCUGAUUAGCUAGUUGGAAGGGUAAAGGCCUACCAAGGCGACGAUCAGUAGCCGGUCUGAGAGGAUGAACGGCCACAUUGGAACUGAGACACGGUCCAA
rnacentral:rRNA from 1 species